CAGGAGCUUCUGGAAGAGGUGAGGAAGGAACUGCAGAAAGUGAAAGAGGAAAUCAUUGAAGCAUUUGUCCAGGAGCUGAGGAAGCGGGGUUCCCCCUGACCACAGGGCUCCCGAAAAUCCCGUAUGUCCUUUCUGCACACCCCGCCUGUCACCCUGCUUUCCCUGCCUCAACUUGACUUGGAAUUGGCUGAAGACUACACAGGAAUGCGUCGUCCCCGCUCCCCAUCCUACUUGGAAAAUUCCAAGGGGGUGUGGCUUCCUUGGCAACGUGCCCACACCCAUACUGGCUGCUGAUUGGCUGGGGAGGCCCCCACCCUUUGCUCCCUUUGGUCCUUCCCCUCUCCUUGGGGCUGGUUCCUCCGCUGGGGAUGUACCAAUGAACCCCACAGUAAGGGGGGAGGAAGGAGGGAAUCUCACAUUCCCUUGUUCUAGAUUCACUUUAACGCUUAAUGCCUUCGAAUUUUUGUUUUUUUAAGAAAAAAAAAA